rnacentral:rRNA from 1 species
CCUACGGGUGGCAGCAGUGAGGAAUAUUGGUCAAUGGACGCAAGUCUGAACCAGCCAUGCCGCGUGCAGGAAGACGGCUCUAUGAGUUGUAAACUUCUUUUGUACGGGACGAAGAAAGUGACGGUACCGUAAGAAUAAGCCACGGCUAACUACGUGCCAGCAGCCGCGGUAAUACGUAGGUGGCAAGCGUUAUCCGGAUUUACUGGGUGUAAAGGGCGAGUAGGCGGGAUUGCAAGUCAGAUGUGAAAACUAUGGGCUCAACCGAUAGAGUGCAUUUGAAACUGCAGUUCUUGAGUGAUGGAGAGGCAGGCGGAAUUCCCGGUGUAGCGGUGGAAUGCGUAGAUAUCGGGAGGAACACCAGUGGCGAAGGCGGCCUGCUGGACAUUAACUGACGCUGAGGCGCGAAAGCGUGGGGAGCAAACAGGAUUAGAUACCCGGGUAGUC